rnacentral:rRNA from 1 species
AGCAGCCGCGGUAAUUCCAGCUCCAAUAGCGUAUAUUAAAGUUGUUGCAGUUAAAAGCUCGUAGUUGAAUUUCGGGAUUAAUUUAUUGGUCGUGCUAUUGUACGUACUGGUAUUAUUGAUUCCUACCUUCUGACGAACCACGAUGUCAUUAAUUUGGUGUCAUGGGGAAUCAGGACUGUUACUUUGAAAAAUUAGAGUGUUUAAAGCAGGCUCACGCUUGAAUACAUUAGCAUGGAAUAACGAAAUAGGACGUUUGAUUCUAUUUUGUUGGUUUCUAGGAUCGACGUAAUGAUUAAUAGGGAUAGUUGGGGGCAUUAGUAUUCAAUUGUCAGAGGUGAAAUUCUUGGAUUUAUUGAAGACUAACUACUGCGAAAGCAUUUGCCAAGGAUGUUUUCAUUAAUCAAGAACGAAAGUUAGGGGAUCGAAGACGAUCAGAUACCGUCGUAGUCUUAACCAUAAACUAUGCCGACUAGGGAUCGGAUGAUGUUAAUUUUUAAUGACUCAUUCGGCGCCUUACGGG